GACCUGACCAAGAAGCAGUUUCCUUCAACUCGGCUAAUACUGAGUAAAGUGACAUCUAUUGAACACUGGGAGUAGAACCUACAGGGAGAAUUCAUUCCGAUGUAGUUACAGCUCUGAAAGAGAAGCUAAAUCCAGAACCUUUUGAUGUAAUUAUGCUGGCUUUUGGGAGCAAAGAGCAAGUUGUAAGCUGAAACUUCUAGGUAGGUUGAGGCUGGAUUACGUAAACUAUCUGGCAGGCGAAGGUGUGAAUCAUCACCGAACUUCACAUUACAAUUUUCUGUGAGUUUUGAAUUUCCCAGGAGAAAAGUCAGGAAAUUAUGAAACAGCACAUCACCCUCCUCUUCUGUUGCAUGUACUGGACAGACUGGGGAGAUAUUUGAAAGGCUGGAAUUGAUUGGCUCAGACCGGAGGGUACUAUUCAAUGAUUCACUGGGCUGGCCAAAUGCUCUGACCAUCUCAUAUGAAGCAAAUGAACAGUUUUGGGUGGAUUUAUAAGGCAUGAACAGGAAGCAGAGGUGCCAACUGUUGCAUUAUAUAUGUAAUAGUGAUUCUAUAAAGGUGUGCUACCGACAUAAUGGCAACAAUGAAAUUGAUGAACCUAUGUUCCCUCAGCCCUCGAUGUACCGAAAGGUAAAGCACACGUCACCUGUUCUGGACAAAUAUUCUGAAAGACUGAUCCAAUAAGGAGUUGUUACACCAGAAGAGGUCAAGGUGAGUACAAUGAAAUAUGGUAAAAACAAUAACCAAUAGAGCAGAUUGUAUUUUUCUUUCCCAUGUUGAACUUCCCUGCAGAAUUUUGUGCCACAGACAGUAUUGAGGCGAGAUGUAGCAUCCAUCUUAAGCCCUGAAAAUGGAGACUGUUUUCUUCUCUGGAAUUUUGGUAUGUAAUCACAAGACUGCAUGGCACACCACCAUUUAAACUUAUCACCAUAACCUCAAAUUCUACAGUAAUGAGAUACAAUCGCAGUAAUAUUCAUCUUGAAAUUAGAGCAGAUUAAAUUUCUAAUAAGACACAUUUGGAUUGUGGUGGAGGCAGUAACCACCUCUGAAAUGUCAGUUUCAAUAAGAUUACAUGGUACACGAUGACAGAAAACUGUCUUCUUGAUACCUGUUGCUGUGAGAUCAUGAAAUCUUGGUGAAUGUACAAAUGUGUGAUGAAUUUCUUAGUGGUAAUGAAGACUUAUUCAUUCAUGUCCAUUAAUAUAUUAGGAAUACAUAUAUAAGGUAAUGGAGAGCUAAAAUUAUAUUUUGUGUACAUCCCAACAUAUUCUAAAUGAAUGUGAAGGACAAGUAUGAGAAGUCAGUGCUCACAAAGAGACUCGCAUCAAGUACAAAGAUUGGCUUGACUCUCGAUGGUUAGGCUUUUUUGAGGUUAAGGAGGACACUCUUGUGCACACCGCCUAGAGAAUAUCUUCUAAACCACCGAAUGCUGCAGAAUUUAUUAUUCAUAAGGGUUAUUACUUUUUAUAUCAGUGGUUUACAAUUUUUGUUGACAAUGCUUACUUGUGUACAUAGGUUUUUAAAAUAUAUGUUGAAAUUUGGAGUCCCUUA